GGUAUUGAUUGGUGCUUGCAUCAUGAUUUACAUUUGAGUGAGUGGCGAACUGGUGAGUAACACGUGGGAAACCUGCCCAGAAGCGGGGGAUAACACCUGGAAACAGAUGCUAAUACCGCAUAACAACUUGGACCGCAUGGUCCGAGUUUGAAAGAUGGCUUCGGCUAUCACUUUUGGAUGGUCCCGCGGCGUAUUAGCUAGAUGGUGGGGUAACGGCUCACCAUGGCAAUGAUACGUAGCCGACCUGAGAGGGUAAUCGGCCACAUUGGGACUGAGACACGGCCCAAACUCCUACGGGAGGCAGCAGUAGGGAAUCUUCCACAAUGGACGAAAGUCUGAUGGAGCAACGCCGCGUGAGUGAAGAAGGGUUUCGGCUCGUAAAACUCUGUUGUUAAAGAAGAACAUAUCUGAGAGUAACUGUUCAGGUAUUGACGGUAUUUAACCAGAAAGCCACGGCUAACUACGUGCCAGCAGCCGCGGUAAUACGUAGGUGGCAAGCGUUGUCCGGAUUUAUUGGGCGUAAAGCGAGCGCAGGCGGUUUUUUAAGUCUGAUGUGAAAGCCUUCGGCUCAACCGAAGAAGUGCAUCGGAAACUGGGAAACUUGAGUGCAGAAGAGGACAGUGGAACUCCAUGUGUAGCGGUGAAAUGCGUAGAUAUAUGGAAGAACACCAGUGGCGAAGGCGGCUGUCUGGUCUGUAACUGACGCUGAGGCUCGAAAGUAUGGGUAGCAAACAGGAUUAGAUACCCUGGUAGUCCAUACCGUAAACGAUGAAUGCUAAGUGUUGGAGGGUUUCCGCCCUUCAGUGCUGCAGCUAACGCAUUAAGCAUUCCGCCUGGGGAGUACGGCCGCAAGGCUGAAACUCAAAGGAAUUGACGGGGGCCCGCACAAGCGGUGGAGCAUGUGGUUUAAUUCGAAGCUACGCGAAGAACCUUACCAGGUCUUGACAUACUAUGCAAAUCUAAGAGAUUAGACGUUCCCUUCGGGGACAUGGAUACAGGUGGUGCAUGGUUGUCGUCAGCUCGUGUCGUGAGAUGUUGGGUUAAGUCCCGCAACGAGCGCAACCCUUAUUAUCAGUUGCCAGCAUUAAGUUGGGCACUCUGGUGAGACUGCCGGUGACAAACCGGAGGAAGGUGGGGAUGACGUCAAAUCAUCAUGCCCCUUAUGACCUGGGCUACACACGUGCUACAAUGGAUGGUACAACGAGUUGCGAACUCGCGAGAGUAAGCUAAUCUCUUAAAGCCAUUCUCAGUUCGGAUUGUAGGCUGCAACUCGCCUACAUGAAGUCGGAAUCGCUAGUAAUCGCGGAUCAGCAUGCCGCGGUGAAUACGUUCCCGGGCCUUGUACACACCGCCCGUCACACCAUGAGAGUUUGUAACACCCAAAGUCGGUGGGGUAACCUUUUAGGAACCAG
rnacentral:rRNA from 2 species